AGAAGAUGAGAGGGAGUCAGAGGAAGAGUGCAAGCCCUGGAGUUUUAAGGCUGUUUGACUUAUUUUGGGUUAAGUUGAUAGACUGGGCUGACUUGAGGUGAAUAGCGAGACCAAUUUAGGAGAAAGCUGGGACCUCUAGAGAGACUUUCCCGGGAGCAACUGACAGGGUGUCUGUAAAUUCACUGUGAUUCAGUGACACUGUGAUUCAGCCACCAGGACAACCCUGCACAAGAGAUUCUUGGGUUGCUCAGUUUUACAUCAAUGUAACUCCACUGGGAAUAUUCCUGUUUUACACCAUUGUAAUUGGAUGCCAUUCGGCAAAGCAUGGAAGCAUGUGCUUAACAUGAAGCACGGGCAUCAAACUACCGUUAUCCAGGAAAGAAAGAGGUGCAGAACUUUUCUCAGCUACAGAAAAGCUUAAGGUCCCAAUUCUUCUCUCAGACAGCAAUCAAAUACGUAUCCUAGCAGACACGUCAGCCUCGCCUAAUAUAAUCUGGAAGGACAGUGGCGACUGCUCCCAUGCCUUGGACGAUGCAGCAUCGUUUCCAGCAUAGCAGCAAAAGGACCUCAAGGACUGGGAUGCCUGCACGCCAGUGAACAGGAACGGGCUCAGUAAUGGAUUGAGAGGCACUUUCUAAAAUUACCCUAGUUACUAUAAGCUCUAGUGUGACUCCGCCAGCCAGAACCCUAUGGGGAGGAAGGACUAGGGGGAGAACCAUGCAAGCAGGGCCAUCUGGAUGCCAGUGCAGUGGAGGAGCAGGCAUAAUGCCGCAGCAGUCCUGGAGGGAGCACAUAGGAGAGGCAAUUGUAAUUUAAGAUGCCCUGGAAUUGUGGACUGGUCUGUAUCUCUGUGUCAAGAAGAACAUCACAUUUUCCGUACUCGAACAUACCAAAGCUGUAUUUAGUCCCAAAUCCUGUCCCUAAUGGUGACAAUAACUACAUGCUUCAGAGGAAAGAGUAAAACUCCUGUAAGGUAUCUAAUUGUGCAGUAUCAUGGGAGGCAGUUGAUUCCCAUGUUAUGCCUUCCCAAGGACUGAUGAUCCUUAUAGCCUUGAGGCCACAUCCUGAAGUCCUUACCAAACAAAGACCACUCCUGAGCCAACGCCUACUGAAAUCAAUAGGAUUCUUUUUAUUGACUUCAAUGGCAGAUUUUUUGCCCAUAGUUGAUAGAAAGAUGGCUAUUUUUGUCUUCCUGUCUCUAUAAACUUGUCAGAUCUAUUGUC